UACGUAGGGUGCAAGCGUUGUCCGGAAUUAUUGGGCGUAAAGAGCUCGUAGGCGGUCUGUCGCGUCGGCUGUGAAAACCCGGGGCUCAACCCCGGGCCUGCAGUCGAUACGGGCAGACUAGAGUGCGGUAGGGGAGACUGGAAUUCCUGGUGUAGCGGUGAAAUGCGCAGAUAUCAGGAGGAACACCGGUGGCGAAGGCGGGUCUCUGGGCCGUAACUGACGCUGGAGGAGCGAAAGCGUGGGAGCGAACAGG
rnacentral:rRNA from 1 species